UACGGAGGAGGCAAGCGUUAUCCGGAAUUAUUGGGCGUAAAGCGUCCGUAGGUGGCUAGUCAAGUCUGCGGUCAAAGACUGGGGCUUAACCCUGGAAAGGCCGUGGAAACUGACGAGCUAGAGUGCAGUAGGGGUAGAGGGAAUUCCCGGUGUAGCGGUGAAAUGCGUAGAGCUCGGGAAGAACAUCGGUGGCGAAAGCGCUCUACUGGACUGCAACUGACACUCAGGGACGAAAGCUAGGGGAGCGAAAGGG
rnacentral:rRNA from 1 species